rnacentral:rRNA from 1 species
GACGAACGCUGGCGGCGUGCUUAACACAUGCAAGUCGAGCGGUAAGGCCCUUUCGGGGGUACGACGAGCGGCGAACGGGUGAGUAACACGUGGGUGACCUGCCCUCAGCUCUGGGAUAAGCCUGGGAAACCGGGUCUAAUACCGGAUAUGACUCCAUGACGCAUGUUGUGGGGUGGAAAGCCUUGUGCGGCUGAGGAUGGGCCCGCGGCUAUCAGCUUGUUGGUGGGGUGAUGGCCUACCAAGGCGACGACGGUAGCCGGCCUGAGAGGGCGACCGGCCACACUGGGACUGAGACACGGCCCAGACUCCUACGGGAGGCAGCAGUGGGGAAUCUUGCGCAAUGGGCGAAAGCCUGACGCAGCGACGCCGCGUGAGGGAUGACGGCCUGUG